GUAAUUGUUUGUGUAUCUUCCCUACUCCUUAGAUUGUAUGUUCCCAAAUGUAAGGUCUAUGUUUUUAUUAAUUUUUGUAUCCCCCGCACAGCUUCUGGUACAUUCUAGAUUCCUAAUUUUUUAAAAAUUAAGUCUAGUCCAAUCCCUUUGUUUUCCAGAUGAGGAAACUGUGGCUUAGAGGAAAAGGUCAUUAGUUCAUUUUGGGAUUUGUUGAUUUUCAGAUGUUUGAGAUGUUGAGGAUGGAUUGUCCAGCAGGCUAUUAAGAUGUGGUGAAGGCUAGAAAUGUUGAUUUAGGAGGUAUUGCCUUCGAGAAGAUAAAGGAGGAGAAGAGGAGAGCAUCAUGCAAGCUAGAGAAGAGAAAGAAGAAAAGUAUUCUGGGGAAUGUCUCCUUUGGGAGCAGAAAGAAGACUCUGACGGAGCAGCCAUCCAGGAAGUGGAAUGAGAUCCAGGAGAGGAAGGAGUUUCAGAAGGCAGGAGCUGGUCCUCUAUGUCAUGAAAUGUAGAGGGUGAGGCCAAGGAGGACCUGAGAGAAGGUCUGGGUAAGUUCAUGUAAUUGCAUGUUCCUGCCAUGAAUAUCCUGGUUUUCAGAAAAAGAGU
rnacentral:lncRNA from 10 species